ACAAAAAGUGGAUUCUCUUCUGGAAA
rnacentral:piRNA from 1 species